GAUGAAGAACGCAGCGAAAUGCGAUAAGUAAUGUGAAUUGCAGAAUUCAGUGAAUCAUCGAAUCUUUGAACGCACAUUGCGCCCCCUGGUAUUCCGGGGGGCAUGCCUGUCCGAGCGUCAUUACAACCCUCAAGCUCAGCUUGGUGUUGGGCCCCGCCGCCCCGGCGGGCCCUAAAGUCAGUGGCGGUGCCGUCCGGCUCCGAGCGUAGUAAUUCUUCUCGCUCUGGAGGUCCGGUCGUGUGCUCGCCAACAACCCCCAAUUUUUUUCAGGUUGACCUCGGAUCAGGUAGGGAUACCCGCUGAACUUAAGCAUAUCAAUAAGCGGAGGA
rnacentral:misc_RNA from 1 species